CUCCUGACACCAUUCACGAAGUAAGGCCAUUGAGAACAAGCUCUGGGAAACUAAGUUGGGCUUUGUGCAAACUCAUCUCAUCAGUUGGCAACAGACGCGAAUGGGAAAAUGGUCUGACUGCUGAUGUCCACCGCUGUGCUGCCAGCAGCCUCCGUGUGGGGCAAGAUCUAGCCGAUGAGCGUGCCGGCCUAUGACGUCACUGCUCCCCAUCACUUUCAAGCUCAAUGAGGAGAAAAAGCAAGUCCAAAUCCCGUGGGCAAGAAGGAGAGGACACAGACUGAAAUAUUCUCCAGGUCCAGUCUCAAGCAUCAUACCUCCAUCAAGCUUCACCGACAGCCUCUAACGUGCUCCUCCUUUCAGACCCUUGCCCUGUAGCAACAGGAUGACGCCAUCUUCUGUCUCCCCUGCUGAAUGGACUUCGGCUUUGGGAGCCGUGACCCGGAAGCUGCUGAUGCCUGCCCCUGUCAAGGUUAUUCUGGUUUAAGCUUUCUCUCCCCGAUGGCGUGGGAUUUCAUGCUUUUCAACUCUCCCUUUAAACGGAAAUGAAUAAAAUGAUUUUCGUCCUC